CCCCUCCAAAUAUAUACUUUUCUUUUUAUUUUAGCAAAAGCCAAUAUUUAACCUUGUGGCAAAUGUUAUAAAGCUAUUAGUUAAUACCCUUUGCUCCUCUUCCUUCCAUCCAUGACAUAGAAGUCUGAAUAUACUUUCUCAGUAACCACCAUCCAGUAACUGAUUUACAAAAGCCAAGUCUGGCAAAAUGUUAAUAAGUCACUCUGAGUUUUUUGUGCUGUCUCUUUUCUUGUGACAAACCAGAUGUAUUUGAGGAUAUUCCAGAGUACUGUGAGUUGGGUAUGUCCCUAGGAAGGACAGAACCUGGGAAAAGCCUGACUUUCCAUGGGUACAGACUGCACUUCCGGCCAGCAGUUCUCCAAGUGUCAUGAUGUCUUGCACAGUGAUUGGACACCAGAGGGGUCAAUAUGCAGAUCACUCAUCCUACCUGCACCUUCCGAGUCCUCAGAAAACCUGCACAUCUUGUCCGGGUGCCCAAUAAGACCACUUAAGUCACUUGCUCUAGGGGAAGCCAGUUGCCAUGUCAUGAAGAUACACGAUCAGCUCUAUGGAGAAAUUCACUUGAAAAGGACCUGAGGCCUCCUGCCAACAGCCAGCAAUGAGCUGAGGCCUUGUGCCAAUAGCCAUAUGAAUGCAAGAAGACCUUCUAAUCCCCAGACAACCUCAGAUGUCUGUAGUCUGACUCCAAUUUCAUGAGAAAUCUAGCUCAAAACCACUUCCCUGCCAGAAGUGCUCUCCAGGAAUUCUUGUCUGCGAAUAUCCUUCUUACCCAGUUAUUUUCUGGUGUGAGCAUCUCCAUCUUGAAACUGAUUGAACUAGGUAAACUUAGACAUCUGGACCAUCUCUAGAGUCCAUCUUGAGAAAGACAAGAAGAACGAUGGAGAAAUGAAAACCUCAGAUGAAAUUAAACAAUACAGACACUAUACUUCUUCAACCAGAAUUUUGGAAGGACUUAAAAACUAGUCCUUUGUCACUUCAAGUCAUUGACGUAGCUUGGGGCUUGCUGAUGUAUUAUUCAUGUUCUUGCUCAUCCCAUGGAAGUAAUGAAAUAAGGAAUAAAUAUCAAUUCACAAGAAGAAUAAUGACUGAUGAUUUGGCAUAUGAGCAGCCAAGCAACCAUGAUGCACAGCCCAAGGAGUCAAAAGUCAACUCUUAUUAAAGCACCAUAACCCACAUUAAUAUGACAGACCAGAAUAACUCUGAGGGAGCCAUUAUGAUCCAUUAUGAAAAUAACAUUCAUUUGCAAAAUGAGGACCAUACCAAAAUGCAAGUUGUUCCAGUUCUUUCAGCUAAAUUACACAUUAAGCAUGCAGACUUCCUCUUCAACAUUUUGAAAUGGUUUAAUAUGCACUCAGGCUUGCCAGAGCAUGGAUUUUUCUAAGACUGUCCCAAAGGUGAAGCCUAGAGAACAAGGACCGAUUGCCAAGAAGACAAUCAGCCUUGCUGGAGGAUUGAUCAGCAACUAUGGAUGAGGAAUAAGCGAUGAAUAAGAUCAGCUUGAUAGAAGUAGCUGGAGGCAGAGGAUGAUAUGAAGGCACCGGACAAGACAAGUUCUGAGGACAGAAUAUUCCCAGUAGAACAUAGCAAAUGCAAAGGCUCUGUGGUAGACAUGAACUUGGUACACCCUAGAGCCACAAGAACAGGCCAGUGUGUCUGAAGCACCACUGUCCUUGUAGGGAAGAAUUCAAAGCUGGCUUUCUAUAAACGGCAGGGACACCAGCAAUGUUUUCGUAUCAGGACAGCACAUCACCAGGGCUGCAGCUUCGGUGACUCCGGAAUGUCUCUUCUUGCUAGAAUG